AUGGCCUUCCAGGGAGCGCUUGGCAGGUACACCUGGCUGCUGGCAGAACUCAUCAGUAGCUACUCAGCAGCUCCCUGGCAAUCUCCCUCGGCAGAUCGCUGGAUUGCACAGCGCCUGGUUACCCUGAAGGCACAGUGGCUGCCCUACCUUGCGCACCAGUCGGUGCCAACGUUCUUCCUGCCGAUAAACUGCACCUGCUGCUCUCUGCGAGCACUCAGCCUUCCAGAAUGUGUGCCCGCCACUCGGCAUAAAGGCCCCCUUUCUUCAGCUCACCCACACCACGCAGGCUUGUUCUGCAGGGCUGGUCUACAAGCCCGGGCCAGCCCCAGGCGCUGACUGUCAGCUCCACGGACAGCUUGUGCUCACUCACAGGGCCAGCUCCAGGCCUUAAAGGUACAGAGCGGCUGGUGGCCGGACCCCACGAACUCGGGACUCCUGUGGAGGUAGCUUGGCAAACAUAGUUCAAGGACUUGGUCGAUAUGGCCUGGAUCUCUUGAAAAGCUC
rnacentral:lncRNA from 1 species